UAUCUGAUAUUUUGGUCAUUUAACAUUACUAGUGAGGAUACAUUAAUAAAUAGCUAUUCUUGGUCAACGUUUAAGUUUAGCUUUCUUUUUGGGCCAGUUAUUUGAAACACCGGUGAGGGAAAUACAUCUGGGAUCCAAUAGAUGCAAACUCUAUGACAGAGUCAGCAAGCGUCAACGGCAGAGGUCUACAGCAGAGUCAACAGCAGAGGUCUACGGCAGAGGUCUACGGCAGACGUCUAUGGCAGAGGUCUACGGCAGAGGUCUAUGGUUGCACACCUGAAGUUAAGCAGCUCACGAGGUGAAGGACUGAUAGCUGCCUCUCUCCUCCUCUGCUAGCGUUAAGUAUUUAGUUGUAGAAAUAUGUAUAUAAUAUAAAUAGAAAUAAUAUAAGUUGAUAUAUAUAUAUA